GUGUUUGCUUUGGCAGCACAUACACCAGGAUGAGAACGAGAAAGAGAAGAUUAGCGCGGCCCCUACGCAAGGAUGACAGGCAACUUCACCAAGUGUUCCGUAUUAAA